rnacentral:lncRNA from 1 species
UCUUACAGGUUUAAGGUACUCUUUUACAUGCGAAAGAAUGGGAGCACGCUCUCAUUUCAAAAUAUGGCUAAUGUCAAAGCCGUUUGCACUUUGGAGCCAGGCCUGUUCAAUUUUACAAAUAGCAAGUUUUUCUUACAAUCAGGGUACGGUGGCAACGUGACUUGAAACCCCCAGAAUCAUACCCGGGAUGAAUGCAGGUUUUCUUGGUGGUGAUUAUCUUAAAGGUAAGGGAGGUUUUUUUUUCCCUGAUACUGAUGAAGGCUGAGUGUGACUGUUUAGUAUAGCUAGUGGGCUUUGUCACUUAAGCCUUCCUUAGCAUGUUCCCUUUCCCUUAUUUUUCCUGGAUACUUACGUGCUAACGUGCUAACAACUCCAGAUCAAACUGAGUAUGGAGAUUUUUGCUUUAACAAUUUAGGAGUGGCAAACAAUUUAUAACUGGCAGGGUUUGAGGACAGCCGUGUUGAAAAACCAAAAGAAAAUGCUAAGGCAGGUCUUGACCAAUGUGGAUACUUUGACUAAUUAACUUCGUUACUUUAGGAGGAGGUUGUUCCUGCACGCCAUCCAUCUCCAGCGUUCGAAGGUUAGAUUGUUGGGGUGGUGUGUCUUGUUCACCAGAUUGGCUGUUUCUGUGAUGAAUCAACUAGCUCACUAUGACUGCUAAUGAAAACACUGGAACACCUGAGAAACUGAAGGGUGGCGUGUUGGGGCAAGGGUGCUUACAUAUCAA